rnacentral:rRNA from 1 species
CACGUAGGGUGCGAGCGUUGUCCGGAAUUAUUGGGCGUAAAGAGCUCGUAGGCGGUUUGUCACGUCGGCCGUGAAAACUCGGGGCUCAACCCCGAGCCUGCGGUCGAUACGGGCAGACUAGAGUGCUGUAGGGGAGACUGGAAUUCCUGGUGUAGCGGUGAAAUGCGCAGAUAUCAGGAGGAACACCAAUGGCGAAGGCAGAUCUCUGGGCCGUAACUGACGCUGAGGAGCGAAAGCAUGGGGAGCGAACAGG